rnacentral:rRNA from 1 species
AUUGAACGCUGGCGGCAUGCCUUACACAUGCAAGUCGAACGGCAGCACGGGAGCAAUCCUGGUGGCGAGUGGCAACGGGUGAGUAAUAUAUCGGAACGUGCCCAGUCGUGGGGGAUAACGUAGCGAAAGCUACGCUAAUACCGCAUACGAUCUACGGAUGAAAGCGGGGGAUCGCAAGACCUCGCGCGAUUGGAGCGGCCGAUAUCAGAUUAGGUAGUUGGUGAGGUAAAGGCUCACCAAGCCGACGAUCUGUAGCUGGUCUGAGAGGACGACCAGCCACACUGGGACUGAGACACGGCCCAGACUCCUACGGGAGGCAGCAGUGGGGAAUUUUGGACAAUGGGCGCAAGCCUGAUCCAGCAAUGCCGCGUGCAGGAUGAAGGCCUUCGGGUUGUAAACUGCUUUUGUACGGAACGAAACGGUGAGCUCUAAUACAGUUUGCUAAUGACGGUACCGUAAGAAUAAGCACCGGCUAACUACGUG